GUCAGGUGUGGUGGUGCAUGCCUAUAAUCCCAGUGACUCAGGAGGCAGAGACAGGAGGAUCAUAAGUACAAAGUCAGGCUCAGCAACUUAGCAAGUUCUAAGCAACUUAGUGAGACCCUGUCUCAA
rnacentral:sRNA from 1 species